UACGUAGGGGGCAAGCGUUGGUCCGGAAUCAUUGGGCGUAAAGAGCGUGUAGGCGGCCCGAUAAGUCCGCUGUGAAAGUCCAGGGCUCAACCCUGGGAUGCCGGUGGAUACUGUCGGGCUCGAGUCCGGAAGAGGAGUGUGGAAUUCCUGGUGUAGCGGCGAAAUGCGCAGAUAUCAGGAGGAACACCUAUAGCGAAGGCAGCUUGCUGGGACGUUACUGACGCUAAGGCGCGAAAGCGUGGGGAGCGAACAGG
rnacentral:rRNA from 1 species